UACGGAGGGUGCAAGCGUUGUCCGGAUUUAUUGGGUUUAAAGGGUGCGUAGGCGGCCCUGUAAGUCAGUGGUGAAAUACUGCAGCUUAACUGUAGCAUUGCCAUUGAUACUGUGGGGCUUGAGUACAGAUGAGGUAGGCGGAAUUGAUGGUGUAGCGGUGAAAUGCAUAGAUACCAUCAAGAACACCGAUUGCGAAGGCAGCUUACUAAGCUGUAACUGACGCUGAGGCACGAAAGCGUGGGGAUCGAACAGG
rnacentral:rRNA from 2 species